UGCAGUGACCCGUUAUCAAAAUU
rnacentral:siRNA from 1 species